GAUGAACGCUGGCGGCGUGCCUAAUACAUGCAAGUCGAGCGAACAGACGAGGAGCUUGCUCCUCUGACGUUGCGGCGGACGGGUGAGUAACACGUGGAUAACCUACCUAUAAGACUGGGAUAACUUCGGGAAACCGGAGCUAAUACCGGAUAAUAUAUUGAACCGCAUGGUUCAAUAGUGAAAGACGGUUUUGCUGUCACUUAUAGAUGGAUCCGCGCCGCAUUAGCUAGUUGGUAAGGUAACGGCUUACCAAGGCGACGAUGCGUAGCCGACCUGAGAGGGUGAGCGGCCACACUGGAACCGAGACACGGUCCAGACUCCUACGGGAGGCAGCAGUAGGGAAUCUUCCGCAAUGGGCGAAAGCCUGACGGAGCAACGCCGCGUGAGUGAUGAAGGUCUUCGGAUCGUAAAACUCUGUUAUUAGGGAAGAACAAAUGUGUAAGUAACUAUGCACGUCUUGACGGUACCUAAUCAGAAAGCCACGGCUAACUACGUG
rnacentral:rRNA from 1 species